AUGAUGUGUAUAUUAAGGGCCCCUAGUUUUAGGUUCGCCCCGGGCCCCCAAAAACUCAGGACCGGCCCUGCAUGGUAUGGUAUCUGCAUUCGCGUUAUUUCUCAGUUGUUCACUGCCGUCGCGUUCAUGUUGUUCCACAGGUCAGGCUUGUCAGCAGGUGACCACCAUUACAACAGGACAGACGUUGUCAUCACGUAUGUUCUAUUAGGUGGGGCAGUUAUGCUGGAGAUGGUUUCGGUGCUAAGAACAUUGUUCUCGAGAUGGCCAAGCAUAACACUAGGGAAGAUGGCCUAUGAAGAAGGAAGGUGUCACAUGUGGGUUCGGCUUGCCUGUGCAAUCGGGACUAUCCGUCGAUUGAUCCUUCCGGAGAGGGCCGGGUCGAGAUGGUGGUGGUCCAACUCCAUCGGGCAACACAACAUGAUUGACAUGUGUGUUGGCAGCAAGGCCAACCUAGGAAGCAAGAUUGCAUGCUGGAUGGGGAUUGAGGACUGGUGGAACACUCGUGUCUACUCUAGCUCCAUUCCCGUCUCCAUAACUAUCAAGGAAGCAGUGCUCGAACAAGUGGCCAGCUCUUUACGGGGCAGGGUGGAUGAGUACUUCAUACAAAAGUCCGUCGGGGAGGAUCUAGAACACAUCAUCAAUUCGCGUGGCCUGCAAGUCUUACACAAGUGGGGGGUGUACGAGAGACUAAUCGAGUUCGUGAAUAUGGAGUUUGAUCAGAGCAUCGUUGUGUGGCAUAUUGCCACAGAUAUUUACCUCCAUUGGCACAAAGAUCAAGGCAAAGCUGUUGCAGAUGAUGUUCAUCGCCUUGCGGAGGCAACCCAAGCCAUCUCCAAUUACAUGCUUUUUCUCCUUGCGAAACGCCCAUACAUGCUGCCGGGGUCCGUCGGCCGCACUAGGUAUGUUGAUAUGUGCUAUUCUCUCAUCGGUAUGAAAUACAGCACAGCCAAGGAAUUGGUCAGCUUGUUGACGUCCUCAAAUUGGUUACAAGUGAGUGAUAGUUCAAAACAAGUGGUCAUUUCCGAUAACAGAACAUUGCAUGCAGUAAUUGAUCUUGCUCGCGAGCUAACAGGUGUGGAGUCUAGCCGACCUGCUGUUGAGUUGAAGAUGAUCGCCCAAGUGUGGCUGGAGAUGUUGUGCUAUGCAGGGUACAGAUGCAGCGGAUAUUCUCAUGCCAAGCAGCUGAGCAACGGCGGCGAGCUUCUCACUGUCGUUGCCCUUGUGGUCGAGUACCACAGAAGAAACAUCAUGUAUUGA
rnacentral:rRNA from 1 species